CAGUGCCUCGGGGGGCAGCAGUGGGGGAUAUUGCACAAUGGGGGGAACCCUGAUGCAGCGACGCCGCGUGAAGGAAGAAGUAUCUCGGUAUGUAAACUUCUCUCAGCAGGGAAGAAAAUGACGGUACCUGACUAAGAAGCCCCGGCUAACUACGUGCCAGCAGCCGCGGUAAUACGUAGGGGGCAAGCGUUAUCCGGAUUUACUGGGUGUAAAGGGAGCGUAGGCGGCAGUGCAAAUCAGAAGUGAAAGCCCGGGGCUCAACUCCGGGACUGCUUUUGAAACUGUACAGCUUGAU
rnacentral:rRNA from 1 species